rnacentral:tRNA from 1 species
GCGUUCGGUGGUUCAGUGGUAGAAUACUCGCCUGCCACGCUGGUGGCCCGGGUUCGAUUCCCGGCCGACGCA